rnacentral:lncRNA from 1 species
GAAGGUCUCGGUGCUGCGCCCUGGGCCGCUCCUCGGCAGCUCUUGGGGGCCUUGGGCGUUUGACGCCCGCCUGCCCGGGACUGUGGUCCCUAAAACGCCCUGUGUCCUGGCUGUCAUGGCAACAGUUGUCAGCGGACAAACGACACUCCCUGGACAUUCGUGCGGCCGCGUCACGGCUGUUGACUGCCGCCGUCUGGUGUACAGGUCUCAGCAGUGGCGGCCUCAGGACCUAUUCUUCAUAAGGCUAUUACUUCAGUAACAGGAAAUGUAGAUGACUUUCUUAACACAGAGAAACAGGCACAGAGAGACAAAAUGAGAAGACAGAAGAAUGUGUCUCAAAUGUAAGAACAAGACAAGGCCACAACCAGAGAUCUAAGCAAAAAAAAAAAAAGUAACAUGUUUGAUGGAAUAUUGAAAGCAAUGAUCAUAGGGACUAUCACUUCCAGUCUUGAGAAAAGAGCGGAAGACAUAAAUGAGACCCUUAACAUAGAUAAAGAAGAAAUAAACAGAUGAAGAAUGCAGCAAGCAAGGUCAGAAACAUGCUUGAUGCAACAAAUAGCAAUUUGGAAGAAGUAGAGGAAUGAAUUAAUGACCUAGAAGACAGAGUAAUGGAAAAUAAUCAAGCUGAACAAAAGAGAGAAAAAAGAAUUACACAAAACAAUAAUAGAUAUAGGAAACUCAAUGAUUCCAUCAAAUGUAAAAACAUGAUUCUCAGAGAAAGAAAAAAGUGGACAGAAAUUUUAUUUGAAGAACUAGUAGCUGACUCCUUUCCAACUAGGGCCUGGCAUAAUGGCUCCCGCAAAGAAGGGUGUCGAGAAGAAGGGCCGUUCUGCCAUCAACGAGGUAGUGACCAGAGAAUACACCAUCAGCAUUCACAAACGUAUCCAUGGAGUGGGUUUCAAGAAGUGUGCCCCUCGGGCACUCAAAGAGAUCCGGAAAUUUGCCAUGAAGGAGAUGGGAACUCCAGAUGUGCGCAUUGACACCAGGCUCAACAAAGCUGUCUGGGCCAAAGGAAUAAGGAAUGUUCCAACCGUAUCCAUGUGUGGUUGUCCAGAAAACAUCACAAGGAUGAAGAUUCACCAAACAAGCUCUACACACUGAUUACCUACGUACCUGUCACCACUUUCAAAAAUCUACAGACUGUUAAUGUGGAUGAGAACUAAUCGCUGAUUGUCAAAUAAAGGUAUAAAACUGUGAAAGAAAGAAAAA